rnacentral:misc_RNA from 1 species
GGGAGUUAUUCCAAUGUCGACAGUCGGAGCGAUUAGACGUAUAUAUUUCGUGUCACUCCGUGAUAAAUUAUUGUUUGUUUGCGAGGAAAACUUCGAAUUAUUAGAGGGAUGCCACGAUAUUCAAAAGGACGCCAUGACGAUUGGCAAUGAAUUUGAAAGCAUUUAAUGGAAGUUUGGUAACAUUUAAUUUAUUCUAAUAAAAACAAACGUAUUUGUACGUUUGUUUUCUUCUUUUCUGCAUAAUUGGUAAUAUUUAUUUAGUAUUCUACCGGAAUGCAUUUUCAAUAAGUAAUACGUAAUAUUAAGGUAACGAAUACGUAACGUAUACAAAUUUUAAAUAAUUUCACGAUUUAUUAAAAAUACUAAGAUGAAAAUAGACAGAAUCAAAGAAAUCACAUCUUUUCAUUUCGAAUAUGUUAAAUUAUUUGUGUAUUUCAAACAAGUUUGUACACGUUCUGCGCAUCGCGUUUUUUUCAUAUUGCGCAGCUUUGUUUAACGGACAGAAAGGCUAGCAUGUGUAUCUAAAACUGUAAUGGCGGACAUUCAGUUCAGCAAGCAAUUUUUACAAAUGACUCACAUUGCACAAUAGUCAUACUAGAUAUUUGACAAUAAUAGGAAAUACUUUAUAAUGUAUAAUAAUAUUUAAAAAAAUAUAUAUAUAUUUCUUAUAUUCUUGAUAUAUUUCUUUAUACAAGGAAAAUGAAUAAUAAUUAGUUCGUAGUUUUAAGAAAACUAUUUUCAUAAGCAAACAGUCGAUAGAAAAAAGAAGAAAAAUAUGAAAAGCAGUAUUUUCCUUUCUUUCCUUACCCUUAAUGCUCUAAUAAA